UACGUAGGUGGCGAGCGUUAAUCGGAUUUACUGGGCGUAAAGGGUCCGUAGGGGGUCUGCCAAGUCGGGUGUGAAAUUCUGCGGCUCAACCGCGGAACUGCACUCGAUACUGGCGGGCUUGAGUCCGCGAGGGGUGAACGGAAUUCCUGGUGUAGCGGUGGAAUGCGUAGAUAUCAGGAAGAACACCGAUGGCGAAGGCGGUUCACUGGCGCGGUACUGACCCUGAGGGACGAAAGCGUGGGUAGCAAACAGG
rnacentral:rRNA from 1 species